AAAGAAAGCCAUGCAUUCAUACUUGUUAUUGCCGAAACUUGAGAAAGAAAGAAAGAAAAUUUAGCUUAGGGUAUUCGGCACUUUGGAAGCUUGAUUCAAGAUCAAGAACAAAAGAAACCGGACUUGGAUCGGGGAAAAACAAAAAUAGUCGAAUAGCCGAUUCGUAACGUCCGUCGAUAUCCGAGAUUUUGCUUGUAAGUUACGAGCUCGGGGAUCGUGAACGAAGUCAUCCACACUAUCGUCAACUUUUGGUAUUUUUCAAAGUUUAUCUUCGAACUUUUGGCAUGUAUAGGCUAGGUCGUAUUUUGAUCAACCUUGAAUAUGUAUAACUUUAGCCAUGCGAAAAUGGCUUAAUUUCCAUGAUAGAUUUGUUCAUACUUGGAUAUGGAUUGAGCUUACUUUUAGUUGAUAUGUUAUAUAUUAUAUGCGAAUGAAAUAUGUGAUAUA